rnacentral:rRNA from 1 species
AAGGUAGUGUAGUUAAUAGCUGCAUAUUUGACGUUAGCGACAGAAGAAAGCAACCGGCUAACUACCGUGCCAGCAGCCGCGGUAAUACGGAGGGUGCGAGCGUAAUCGGAAUUACUGGCGUAAAGCGCAUGCAGGUGGUUUGUUAAGUUCAGAUGUGAAAGACCCGGGGCGUCAACCUACCGGAAUAAGCAUUUGAAACUGGACAGACUAGAGUACUGUAGAGGGGGGUAGGAAUUUCAGGUGUAGCGGUGGAAAAUGCGUAGAGAUCUGAAGGAAUACCGGUGGCGAAGGCGGCCCCCUCGGACAGAUACUGACACUCAGAUGCGAAAGCGUGGGGAGCAAACAGGAUUAGAUACCCCUGGUAG